rnacentral:misc_RNA from 1 species
AACAAGGCGUACCUGCGGACCUGCGGAAGGAUCAUUACAAGAAUCGAGGCUGACGGUGCCUACUCCCUAGGCUCCGUCCAGUCCCGCUCUCUACCUUGCCUACUGCACCGUUUGUUGCUUCCUGGCGGCGUCCCGUCGCCAGGGCCUUUUGAAAGCCAAGUAUAAGCAUUGAAACUUCUGACAUACACUAAAUCGUACAACUUUUAGCAAUGGAUCU